rnacentral:rRNA from 1 species
AGUGAACGCUGGCGGUAGGCCUAACACAUGCAAGUCGAACGGCAGCACAGUAAGAGCUUGCUCUUACGGGUGGCGAGUGGCGGACGGGUGAGGAAUACAUCGGAAUCUACUUUUUCGUGGGGGAUAACGUAGGGAAACUUACGCUAAUACCGCAUACGACCUACGGGUGAAAGCAGGGGAUCUUCGGACCUUGCGCGAUUGAAUGAGCCGAUGUCGGAUUAGCUAGUUGGCGGGGUAAAGGCCCACCAAGGCGACGAUCCGUAGCUGGUCUGAGAGGAGGAUCAGCCACCCUGGAAGUGAGCCACGGUCCAGGCUCCUACGGGAGGCCGCAGUGGGGAAUAUUGGACAGUAGGCGCAAACCUUAUCCAGCCAUCCCGCGUGGGUGAAGAAGGCCUUCGGGUUGUAAAGCCCUUUUGUUGGGAAAAAAAAGCAGCAGGUUAAUACCCCGCUGUUCUGACGGUACCCAAAGAAUAAGCACCGGCUAACUUCGUG